UAGUGACAAGAAACGCGGGGAUCGGCCAUUUUGCCUGACAUCCGGUAGCGGCUUAAUGAUUAGACGCAUUAUUUUAACGAUAUCUACAAAUCCAUAUUCUAGGAUUCACUUGAAUUUACAUAUAAGUUUCGUAGUGUUGUGAAUCGACUGUCGAAUACAAAACAAUUAUUCCGUCUCAUUUCAUAGUGAUACCUACUUUUACAAACAAUCAAUGAAACAUUACAUUUUACUGCAUUAGUCCACAGUGCUUAGGGUAAAAUGUCACGAUAUGGCGACUGCAAGGUUUAUGUUGGAGAUUUAGGAAACAACGCUAGUAAACCUGAACUUGAAGAUGCAUUUUCUUAUUAUGGCCCUUUAAGGAAUGUUUGGGUGGCUAGAAAUCCACCAGGUUUCGCUUUUGUUGAAUUUGAAGAUCCUCGGGAUGCGGAAGAUGCAAUACGAGGUUUAGAUGGACGAACAAUAUGUGGACGUCGUGCUCGAGUGGAAAUGUCAAAUGGCGGUCGGGGCUACGGGGGCCGCGGACCUCCUCCGCGCUCGCGGCUACCACCACGGCCCUACGAUGACCGUUGUUAUGACUGUGGAGACCGUGGCCAUUACGCCAGAGACUGCACUCGACGCCGCCGUCGCAGGUUAUCAUUGGCCAGUGCGCCGAGAAUGAACUCUUCAGUGUCUGCACUCCUUAUAAUCUGCGCUACGUAGCUUUCACUUCGCUCCGUGUACUCCACUAAUGUUGGCAGCUACGACUAUAACUUCAAUAUGUGAACUACGUACCUACAGACUACGUGUUAACUUCACUUAUUGAGAAGUACACUGAGCAUAAUGUUUGUACUUCGCGUCGCGUCAGGUCACGUCACGUCACGUCACGACACGACAGGUUUCGUCACUUCACGUCAGGUCACACGUCUUUUGUAAUCACUGCGUGAACUCAUCGUUCGAGGUCUCGUCGCCGCACCCGUUCUCGUUCUCCAAGGUCUGGGUCCCGGUCUCGCAGCCGUUCCCGCUCUCGUUCCCGUUCCAAAGGGAGGUCCAUGUCGCGUUCAAGAUCACGCUCCCCGUCUAAAGAUUCUAAGAAGUCCAAUUAAAAAUCUACCACAAAGGUAGAAACAAA